rnacentral:snoRNA from 1 species
UCCAGAUGAUGAGCAUUUUUGCUACUAUUGACCUUUCGGGACUGAUAUUUUUCCACCAAGAUCUCUGAUCUGGA